rnacentral:piRNA from 1 species
UAUGAUGAUGAUGAACAAAGAGCUUGAUGC